rnacentral:tRNA from 1 species
GGAGAGUUGUCCGAGCUGGCCGAAGGAGCACGAUUGGAAAUCGUGUAGGCGCCCAAAAGGUGUCUCAAGGGUUCGAAUCCCUUACUCUCCG